UGUGAUGUAUCUUUCAGGUACUGGUCAGAAUCCUUUUUUCCUCUGGACGGUCUAGGCUAUGCUGCUGAACAUCAGAGAGACUGUUCCUAUGUCCUUCAUAACUUUGGGUUCACAAGUGCGAUCCGAACAGGGAUGCAUUUCACGGGCAGGGAGGAGAUCGCUGUAGGAGGAGGAGAAGAGAUCUUUGUUUACGUCAAUAAGAUACUGGUCUUACAAGUUCAGAGAGAAUACCAAUCGGUUACUACAUGUAAGAAGGUCAGCUUGGCUAAUGCCAAUGGAGGAGGCACAAUUACACCACAAGAGGGCAGUAUUGUGAAUGGAGAGUGUGUUAUCACCGGGAGUGUUCCCACAGAA